UGAGGUAAUAAUAGAAACUAAGCAAUUAAUACUUGCGACUUAUAUUAAGUGACAAAAACACUUCUCUAAAAGGACUCCGAAAAACAGAUUACAUGCCUUAUCAUGACAUUAAUAACAGUUUCCCAAAGGACCAUGUCAACAGUCUUUAUUCCUAGUGAAAAACUAUCCAUAACCAUCCUACUUUUCUGGAGAAUAGUAAAUAAGAAUUCUUGGUAGAUCACACUUGAAUAAUCGAUUCCGUUUUAUCCACCACAAUUUUUUUGUAUAUAACAGUAAAACUUGUGUUGCCGAGAGAUUUCCUCGUGCUUUUUGAAACGUUGAUUCACCAUGAGAACUCUUUAUACAGGUACAAUUAAGUAGGCAUUACAGUACAAAAUGAAGAAAGCAAAAUGUCAUGUUACACUACCAUUGAAUGUUCACAUUAUUGGAACCUCUUUAACAAAUACAAAGAUUAUGCACAACAGGAAGAUGAAGAUGAAAAGUUCAGUACCCCCAUGCUGUGGAUCGGUAUCUAUAUCGCUGCAGCAUCUCUAGUCUGCUCCCUUGCAACCGCGGCUGAUGUAAUCCGGGGUGUUUUACAAAGAAAAUUCUGGUUCCCAUGUAAAUAUUUCACUCUCAAUGCUUUUUCUUUGACACUGUUAGCAGUAGCAAUGAAGUUUCCAUUGGAUAUAAACACUUCAAUGCCAAGCGAACCGGAUCAGCUUGUGAAGCUUAGCAGCUCAGCUUUUUUGUGUAUCGUAAUGGGUAAUUUUAUGCCUUCUCUAGGUGCCAUCCAUAACAGGGGAAUUCUCUCCAAUGUAACGGCCUUGGGAAUUCUGGUAAUCACCCUUGUUGUGAAUAUCUGCAUUGAACUGAAUACCGGUGUAAUUUACUCUUCUUUACGGAUAGAAUAUAUUUUGGUUUCCCUUUUCAUGAUUGUUUUGUUGGUGAUUCUAUGUUUCUCAGCUUUGGCAGUUCCAAGUACCAAAAAGUAUAUAGAGUGGAAGUAUGGUGAAAUGCACAAAAUAGCAUUAAGUGAUCAAGAAGUACCUGAGGAAGAAGCUGGGGGAAGGACUAGAGUUGAGAAACUAUUUGGAGAUGUCAGAAAGUAUUGGAUGAUGGCGGAAACGGG
rnacentral:lncRNA from 1 species